AUGAUUCUAAGUAGUGGACAUUGUGUGUCAUUUUUGUUGUGUUCUUCAUUGUAUUGCAUAAUGACAUAAUGAACCUCAUAAUCUUACAAAGCCUGUUGAAUUAGAUUCAGUACUUAGGAGGUGCUAAAAUGGCUAAAAUUUCCUUCUUUUUGAUAGGGUUUUGGCUGUUAAGUAAUUGGGCUGGUUAUUUAGAGGCACAAGACAUGAUGAAGUAUAAAGAUCCUAAAGAAUCAAAUGAUGUUAGGGUUGAGGAUCUUCUUAACAGGAUGACUCUCGAGGAGAAAAUCGGUCAAAUGUUACAGAUCGAGCGCAAGUAUGCAUCCGAUAAUGUGCUCAAAAACUAUUUCAUAGGGAGUGUAAUGAGUGAGGGAGGGAGUAUUCCAGUUCCAAAGGCUUCUGCUGAAAACUGGAUUGAUAUGUUGAAUCAAUUUCAGAAGGAUGCUUUAUCAACAAGGCUUGGAAUUCCGGUUUUUUAUGGGAUUGAUGCUGUUCAUGGCCACAGCACUGUUUACAAAGCAACUAUUUUUCCUCACAAUAUUGGCCUUGGAGCUACCAGGGACCCUGAAUUGGUCAAGAGAAUCGGAGCUGCAACCGCACUUGAAGUUAGAGCAACGGGAAUUCAAUAUGCUUAUGCACCUUGUGUAGCAGUUUGUAGAGAUCCGAGAUGGGGACGGUGUUAUGAAAGCUACAGCGAAGAUCCUAAACUAGUCCAAGCUAUGACUGAUAUCAUAUUAGGAUUGCAAGGGGACAUCCCUGAUAAUAUGCCAAAUGGUGUUCCUUUUAUUGCUGGAAAAGAAAAGGUUCUAGCUUGUGCUAAGCACUACGUUGGUGACGGUGGAACAGUCGAUGGGAUUGAUGAGAGUAACACUGUUAUAGAUAGAAAUGAAUUGAUGGAAAUUCACAUGCCAGGGUACUUAAGCUCCAUUAGCAAGGGUGUGGCAACUGUUAUGGUAUCUUACUCAAGUUGGAAUGGUGUAAAAAUGCAUACUCAUCAUGAUCUUAUUACUGGUUUCCUCAAAAAUACUCUCCAUUUCCAGGGCUUUGUCAUUUCAGAUUAUGAGGGGAUUGAUAGGAUCACCACUCCGCAUCGUGCAAACUGCACAGAGUCGCUUCAAGCAGGAGUUUCUGCUGGCAUUGACAUGUUCAUGGUUCCAAAGUUCUACAAGAAUUUCAUUGACGAUCUAACUAUAUUGGUGAAAAAUGAAGUCAUUCCUAUGAGUCGAAUUGAUGAUGCUGUGAGAAGAAUUUUGCGUGUCAAAUUCAUGAUGGGAAUUUUUGAGAACCCUUUUGCUGAUUAUAGUUUAGUUAACUAUCUUGGGACUAAGGAACAUAGAGAACUUGCUAGAGAAGCUGUAAGGAAAUCCAUGGUCCUACUGAAAAACAGCAAACCUGAUAAAAAGCCUUUGCUACCUCUUCCUAAAAAGGUUCCGAAAAUACUCGUGGCCGGAAGCCAUGCAAAUAAUCUAGGAUAUCAGUGUGGUGGCUGGACCAUUGAAUGGCAAGGAGUCAGUGGCAACGAUAUUUUCGAAGGGACUACAAUUCUCGAUGCUAUAAAGAACACGGUCGAUCCAGAGACCAUAGUCAUCUACGAGGAGAACCCUGAUAUUGAAUUUGUUAAAUCAAAUGGAUUUUCCUACGCUAUAGUUGUAGUAGGAGAGAAACCUUAUGCUGAAAUGCAUGGUGACGACAUGAACUUGACAAUCCCAAACCCUGGUCCUGAGACCAUAACAAAUGUCUGUGGAGCUAUACAAUGUGCAGUUGUGAUUAUAUCCGGUCGGCCUUUGGUUAUCGAGCCGUACGUUGGUUUGAUGGAUGCAGUUGUUGCUGGUUGGCUACCAGGUAGUGAAGGACAAGGUGUGGCUGAUGUUUUGUUUGGUGACUAUGGUUUCACAGGAAAGCUUCCAAGAACAUGGUUCAAAAGUGUUGAUCAACUUCCAAUGAAUGUUGGAGAUGCUCAUUAUGAUCCUCUUUUUCCAUUUGGGUUUGGCCUUACUACUGAACCUACUGAGGCUAUUUACUCUCAGUAGCUAUCAUCUUGAACUCUAUUCAUUAAAAUGAAUAACAUUGAGAGUGUGGAAGGUAGCAUUUGAUUGAAUUUCAUCUUCCAUGAACAUGAAUCUUAGAAGAUCUAUGAUAAGCCUAGGCCACCCAUCACCAAGUUUUACACCCGCAGGCAGCGACUCCCAAGGAGUGCUAGGGUCAGGAGAGCGAAU